rnacentral:rRNA from 1 species
GUCGAACGGAUUAUUCUUUAUAGCUUGCUAUGAGAAUAAUUAGUGGCAGACGGGUGAGUACUGCAUAGGAAUCUACCUAGUAGUAUAGGAUAGCCACUAGAAAUGGUGGGUAAUACUGUAUAAUCCCUGCGGGGGAAAGAUUUAUCGCUACAUGAUGAGCCUAUGUUAGAUUAGCUAGUUGGUGGGGUAAUGGCCUACCAAGGCAGUGAUCUAUAGCUGGUCUGAGAGGAUGAUCAGCCACACUGGAACUGAGACACGGUCCAGACUCCUACGGGAGGCAGCAGUGGGGAAUAUUGGACAAUGGGCGCAAGCCUGAUCCAGCUAUGCCGCGUGAGUGAGGAAGGCCUUAGGGUUGUAAAACUCUUUCAGUAGGGAAGAUAAUGACGGUACCUAU